CCAUAAAAACCGCAUUUCUUCGGUUGUUCCAGUUUUAUUGACAAGUGUAGUGCAUCGUAUCAUCUCAUAGUCAUCAUAAAGUGUGCAAAGUUUGCAGGUCUAGGAUCCACAGCACCGCUGGACACCGAAGACAACUGUAAUUCUCGCUUCUUAUUGUUUCAACUGAAAGUUCAGUGUUUCGUGAACGAGGAAUAGAGUGACGAAGUAUGUAUACCAAAUGAUGUAUACCAUUUAUGUA